rnacentral:rRNA from 1 species
ACAUGUCCCGUGUGGAUCCUGGAGACAGGAUUCUUCAGUUCGGCUGGCGGGAACACAGGUGCUGCAUGGCUGUCGUCAGCUCGUGUCGUGAGAUGUUGGGUUAAGUCCCGCAACGAGCGCAACCCUCGCCCUUAGUUGCCAUCAUUCGGUUGGGCACUCUAAGGGGACUGCCGGUGAUAAGCCGAGAGGAAGGUGGGGAUGACGUCAAGUCCUCAUGGCCCUUACGGGCUGGGCUACACACGUGCUACAAUGGCGGUGACAAAGGGCAGCGAACCCGCGAGGGGGAGCUAAUCCUUAAAAGCCGUCUCAGUUCAGAUUGCACUCUGCAACUCGAGUGCAUGAAGGCGGAAUCGCUAGUAAUCGUGGAUCAGAACGCCACGGUGAAUACGUUCCCGGGUCUUG